UUACUAGUUGAAUAAUUAUGAAAACGAAUUCACACGUCAGACUUCAGAGACUUAGUCUAUGAGAAGAAAUUUUCAUGCUUAUUGAGCAGAAC
rnacentral:snoRNA from 1 species